ensembl:snoRNA
GUACCCUAUUAAGGUUGACACAGUGCUUUAAGAGCCUAACACAGAAAGGUAAAGCAAGUAAGUAAGUUUCCAUAAAACCCAGAGACAAUAUUGUAAAAUUCCUUUGAAUCAUGUCUGAAGUCACAGCU